rfam:TPA: Bos taurus chromosome 11, whole genome shotgun sequence.
UCCCUAGUGGCUCAGAUGGUAAAGCGUCUGCCUGCAAUGCAGGAGACCUGGGUUCGAUCCCUGGGUUGGGAA